ACGGAGGGGGCGAGCGUUAUUCGGAAUUAUUGGGCGUAAAGGGCGCGUAGGCGGCCCGGUAAGUCAAAGGUGAAAUCCCUCGGCUCAACUGAGGAACUGCCUUUGAAACUGUCGGGCUUGAGGCCGGGAGGGGGUAGCGGAAUUCCCAGUGUAGCGGUGAAAUGCGUAGAUAUUGGGAGGAACACCGGUGGCGAAGGCGGCUACCUGGACCGGUUCUGACGCUGAUGCGCGAAAGCGUGGGUAGCAAACAGGA
rnacentral:rRNA from 1 species